UACGUAGGGGGCAAGCGUUGUCCGGAAUCACUGGGCGUAAAGCGCGCGCAGGCGGUCAUCUACGUCUGGGGUGAAAGCCCGGAGCUCAACUCCGGGACUGCCUUGGAUACGGGAUGACUUGAGGAUCGGAGAGGCAAGGGGAAUUCCACGUGUAGCGGUGAAAUGCGUAGAGAUGUGGAGGAACACCUGCGGUGUAGACGGCUUUCUGGACCAUUACUGACACUGAGACACGAAAGCGUGGGUAGCAAACAGG
rnacentral:rRNA from 1 species